AUGACUUUGACUCCAGUUCACUGGUUCUCUUUUCUUGCAACACUUUUGGUAGGUACUAACCACUGCAUAGUGGGUACAUUCCACAAGGUUUGAUGUUUUCAGGGGUCAUCUAGCCAUUACUAUUUCCCUUGUUAAUGUCACUCAGAUCUUUUCCCUUAACCAAAAACUGACUGUUCACUUGCUGCCCAAUUUAUCCCACCUUGUGACAGGUGCC